UGGGGAGUGGUGAAAUGGCAUCACGACAGGUUCUGGCCCUGUUAUUCGAGGUUCGAAUCCUUGCUCCCCAG
rnacentral:tRNA from 1 species